AGGGCAUCAGAAAUUCAUGAAGAUUUCUACACUUCCGUUCAAAAGUCUGGAUACUUUCGUUGAGAUCAAUAAUGGGCUGAUCAUUCAUAAAGGACACGCUGUUCCUCGACACUUGUGACGUCUGGAAUAAGCCACGCCCCUUCGAGAGCGCUUUAAAUCCCUGAGAAACAGCGCUUCACUAAACAGCAACAGCACGCACUUGAGUGAAGGUCCGUCGACGGCAAACAGUGCUGGUUACUUCUCAUAACUACUUUUGGCGUGCGUUAUUUUCUUUGACAUUGACUGCACUUCUGCAUUUAAAGUUCAAGGAAAAUCUAUUUCAGCGCAUCUUUUUUUACUGACAGAGAUAUUUCUCCAUCAACAAUCAUCUUCAGCUGACGUUCAUCUCUAUAAUCAAAAAUGCGCAGCACAAAUGCAUUUGGAUUCAGCCCAGUUACUCUUUACCUGAUCGGGUGAUGCCGGUGGAUCUGGCCAUGCAUGCGCAGAUUAGCCCACCGGUGUAUCUGCUCCUUGGCAUGUCUGCUCUCAGGUUGCUCUUCCCCAACAUAUCUUCACCAGAGCUUCAACGAGCCAGGCUUUCACCCCCUUCACCUACAUUUUCACGAUCUUCAUCCAGCUCUGCCAGCUCCCUGUCCUCAUACUCUCCUAGCAC